UACGGAGGGUGCGAGCGUUAAUCGGAAUUACUGGGCGUAAAGGGUGUGUAGGUUGUUAUUUAAGUUAUGUGUGAAAGUCCAGGGCUCAACCUUGGGAUGUCAAAUAAGACUGAAUGACUAGAGUAUAGGAGAGGGUAGUGGAAUUUCCGGUGUAGCGGUGAAAUGCGUAGAGAUCGGAAGGAACACCAGUGGCGAAGGCGGCUACCUGGCCUAAUACUGACACUGAGACACGAAAGCGUGGGGAGCAAACAGG
rnacentral:rRNA from 1 species